UCACAAACUUCCCGAGCUGUCGCAACUCUUCCCCCUCCCCCCCCAUCCCCAUCCGCACCUGUUAGGUGAUUAUCCUGCAUCUAGCAACUCUGUCCGGCGCCCCACUAUAUAAAGUGCUGCAACUGCUCAUGGUGCACAGUUUGGGACAAUCAGCUCAACUUCACCAACAUGAAAUUCGUGUCUCUCUUGCUCGCUGUGGCGAUGGCUCUGUCUGCCCUGCUGGGGACAGCACGAGCCAUGCCUGAGCCAGAAGCCCUGGCCGACGCCGACCCUUGGGCUCAUGGCGUAGGCUAUGGAGGCUACGGACGAGGACGUUACUACGGAGGAGGAGGCUAUCGCAGAGGCUAUUAUGGACGCGGCCACGGCUGGUGAGACUCCGAACGAUGACUCCUGCCGAAGCUUCUGCUCUCGCUUUAUCUGAAGGACGACGAACCGAUUUCCGAUUUUGCUACAUGAAAAUAAACCAAUUUUAAUUUUA
rnacentral:lncRNA from 1 species